CAGGGAUUCCUAAGAGCUGUAAGACUUGUGACCAUGUUGAGGACUCCACACACUGGCAUCAGAUUGAACCCUUGACUUCCACUGUCCAGGGAGUGACAAUGUUCAGACACAAGACACCCAGAGGGAGUUAUGAGUGCACAGUGUCUGGGCUCCGCUGGCUGUGUGAGAGAGAUGUCAUUCUGAAGUAUCACUUCAGGAACUGGGAACCCUACAGUCAACUUCUGAAAGACAUGCAGUACACACAAGGUGGUCCAUUGCUGGACAUCACUAUG